rnacentral:rRNA from 1 species
AUAUGGCUCAGAACGAACGCUGGCGGCAGGCUUAACACAUGCAAGUCGAACGCACCGCAAGGUGAGUGGCAGACGGGUGAGUAACGCGUGGGAACCUUCCCUUUGGUACGGGAUAACUUCGGGAAACCGAAGCUAAUACCGUAUAAGUCCUUCGGGAGAAAGAUUUUAUCGCCAAAGGAUGGGCCCGCGUUGGAUUAGCUAGUUGGUAGGGUAAUGGCCUACCAAGGCGACGAUCCAUAGCUGGUCUGAGAGGAUGAUCAGCCACACUGGGACUGAGACACGGCCCAGACUCCUACGGGAGGCAGCAGUGGGGAAUAUUGGACAAUGGGGGAAACCCUGAUCCAGCCAUGCCGCGUGAGUGAAGAAGGCCUUAGGGUUGUAAAGCUCUUUUGGCGGGGACGAUAAUCGACGGUACCCGCAGAAUAAGCCCCGGCUAACUUCGUGCCAGCCGCUGC